GACGAACGCUGGCGGCGUGCUUAACACAUGCAAGUCGAACGGAAAGGCCCUGCUUUUGUGGGGUGCUCGAGUGGCGAACGGGUGAGUAACACGUGAGUAACCUGCCCUUGACUUUGGGAUAACUUCAGGAAACUGGGGCUAAUACCGGAUAGGAGCUCCUGCUGCAUGGUGGGGGUUGGAAAGUUUCGGCGGUUGGGGAUGGACUCGCGGCUUAUCAGCUUGUUGGUGGGGUAGUGGCUUACCAAGGCUUUGACGGGUAGCCGGCCUGAGAGGGUGACCGGCCACAUUGGGACUGAGAUACGGCCCCGACUCCUACGGGAGGCAGCGGUGGGGAAUAUUGCACAAUGGGCGGAAGCCUGAUGCAGCAACGCCGCGUGCGGGAUGACGGCCUUCGGGUUGUAAACCGCUUUCGCCUGUGACGAAGCGUGAGUGACGGUAAUGGGUAAAGAAGCACCGGCUAACUACGUG
rnacentral:rRNA from 1 species